CAGAGGACGUUCUGGAGCAAAGCGAGUGGGGGAGGUGGCGGGAGACAGGGACAGAGGGGCAGAGGGAGAGUGUGUGCGUGUCCAGAGCUUCAGGGCGAGCGAUGGUGAUGUCACCUCCCCUCCACUCUGCCGAGGGGCUGUCCACACCAGCGCGUUGUCGUCAGUCGUCAGGCCAGUCUCACCCGCCUGCAAGGAGGAGGAGGGAACGGCACAGGGAAGUGGAGAACUUCUCAGGGACACCGAAGACAGGGGAACACUGCCUCCUUUCUCCUCCUCGCUCCACAAGAACCGGGGCCCAGCUCAGGGCAAUAAGAUUACUUUGGAGGCGGUGGUCGGAAUUUGCAGAAGUGAAAGACCCGAGGGUGUGUCAGCUCACAGGGUGAGUGCCAAGGCCGGAGCCGGGAGGUCAGCCCCCGAGCCAGCCAGUGCUCAGUUGGCCCGGAAUUCCUGAGUGUCUGCAGUCAGCAGGGCAGCCUCUGCAGGCUCCUGGAAGGCAUCUUCCUUUAUCAGAGGUGCUGGCGGGUCAGUAUCAAAGCUUUCUUGCUGGCCUGGAGAAUCUGCAUUCUGGCACCCCUCAGCCUGUCUUUGGCUAGACCCAGAGGACCAGGAAAACUACCUUUCGUUUGGCAUUGGAAGAGUUGGGUUGAAUUCUGAUCCAGGCACUUGUGUGCUCUGUGACCUUAGGAAAUGUAUUCAAAGUUCCUGAGCUUCCGUAUCCUAAUCUGCGGCCAUUUGUACUUUCCUGGUAGGUUUAGUGGUGAGGAUUAAAUAGGGUUGUAAAAAGUCUAUGGUGCAGGGAGUGCCUGGCACAGGGUACUAUCUUGGAGGGAUGGGGAGAGCGGGAGGUGUGGGGCAGCGAGGCUCGCCUUCGGAGGCAGACAGGGUCUGGUUCUGUCUCUCCCAUUUUCUACUGCUUGAGUGCCAGCUAUGCUUAACCUGGAGGCUGUUGCUUCAGCUCUAAGAUGGAGAUGCUGCUUGCUUCAUAGUUUCUGUAAGGAUUAAAAGUUGUCGUUACUGCCUUAAGGGAACUCCUAGGCCAUUGCGGGUACCUGGACCCAUGCCCAACUCUGGGAGACCAAAUCAGAGCUGGGGAUGCUCAAUCAGACUCCAUGCUGGAGGGCUUGGGGGAGAAGCCUGGGAAGGAAAGUCUGGGAGGGCUUCCUGAAGGAGGUGUUUGAAGUGGAGCCAGGCUGGAGGGACAGAGAGAGCAGGAGGGCCCCUGGUCUGGUGAACUGCAUAGCAGAGAGAGAGUUUACGUAGGAGCUGGCUGCCAAGUGGAACAGGGUCAGACCAUGAAUGAGGUGGGGCGGCUGGGGGUGGAGGGUUAGUGUGGCUGGAUGUGGGAGCCAUGGGGUCCAGGGGUCUGGGAGGAGGCCCAAGGAGUUUGACUUCUGUAGGUGGACACUUCUGAGCCAGAAGCACUGGUCUGGGAGGGGAAUGGCCUCUCCCUGGGUGGAGCUUUCUCUCCUCUGCCUCCCAUGUUCUGAGGCUGCUUCUGCUGUUUGAGCUUCUCUUAGUUUCCCCGAGAUGAUUACCCGGGAGACCUGGGGAGACAAGGAAGGAGGCAGCGAGGCCUUGGGGAAUAGACGCGCUCAGCCUGGAAUUCUGUUGGGAGCACAGAAAACACACACUGAACUGUGUUGCCAUGGAAGCUUACCUAACGCUUCCCUGGGGCUAAACUGGCCUUGGCUGGCCCAGGCCCAGCCCAUUUUCACCUUCCAGAUUGCUAAACAAAAUUAGAAAAAUGCUUUUGGAUCUUCUCUUCUGGGGCAUCCACAUGACCGCUCCCCUUGAUGGGGAUAACUGCACACUGACUCUGUGAAAGAGCAUCGCUGGAGGAAGAGCUCGCGCAGGCUUUGGACUGACCCCAGACUGAGGUCAAGUCUUGAAGGACUUUUAGUUCCUUAUCUGUAAAAAGGGGGUAAUAUUACCUUCCUCAUGGGCUAUUUUAGGGUUAUGAAUAAUACACGUAAGAGAUCUGACACUUUGAUGCUUAGUGGGAACCAACAAAUGAGAGCUGCCAUCAUCAUCACCAUCUUUUCCGCCACCACCACCGCCACCGCCAUCAUGGUCACAGCAGGCCUGGGUUGAGAGUUGGGGAAGGGGAGGGGGGUCAACAGGCAGGGCUCAGUUUGCAUGGCUAGCUCCCCAGGAAUUGGAUAUGCAAGCUUCUGUUUUGCAUGGUGGCAGAUUUUUGCAUUUUUCCCUUUAUCACUAUUCCACCUCCCUCUAGUUACCCUCAACCCCCCUGAGCCAGCUCUCUCUCCAGCCUAAGCACCAAUCAUGGGCUAGGCAGGCCCUGCAGAGGACACAAAGAUGCAUGAGACACUGCUCCCUCAUGCAAGGGGAACACCAGGGCUUAAAUUCUCCCACGACAAAUGUGUCAAAGCCGUGCGAACAAGACCACGAGUUCCACGGGGGCUGGUCUUGACGUCGAUGAAAGGGUGGGGCAAGCUGCACAGAGGAAGGCUUUAGGAAAGGCAGAGGACAAGCAGGGAGGGGUGGUGACAGUCAAGCUAACAUUGAUGGAAGGCCUCCGACUGCCGGGCACUGUUCCCUGAUCUAGUGUUCAUAUCGGGCCUCUUGGGUAGUUAUUAUCUGCAUUUUUGGCAGAGGGAAAGGAACCUCAGAGAAAUUAAGUAAUUUGCCCAACUUCACAAUGUUAGGAAGUCGCUCCAGAAUUCUUUUGCUUGCCUUCACUAUCCUUCAGCUUUUGGUCACACGUGGCUGCGGAGCAGAACGUGCGUAAAUACGCUCAGUCCCACCAGCAGACGGGGUUCCCAUUCCAGUUCUUCCCUUCACAGCUGUGUGCACUUGGGCACUUUCCCAUUCCUGCCUGGCAGGGUCUUUAUGAGUUUAAAUGAGGUGAAGUGUGCAUUGCACACAGUAGGGCCACAGGACGUGUUUCUGAGGCUCUGACAAUCCAUCUGAUGCUCGAGUCCCCUUGACCUUUGCCUUGAACCCUUCCUCACUCACCGGAAGCCGAGACUUCCUAGAUGAUGCUACAGAUUUCACUUGCCCGGAGCUCGAAGUUUUGGGAAGCCCUUGCUUACGGGUGAGCAGAAGUCUCUGGGGGCUCCUUCCUGCGGGUUCCAGUUGCAUCCCUUGGACCACACAGAUGAAUGUCCCUUCUUCCUCCUGGCAGGCGGUGUCUCUUCUCCAGGCCUUGCACUCCCAGCUCCUGCAGCUAUGUCUCUGUGGAACAUGGUUCCCAUUCCCCUCCUUAACCUAGACACCUCCUUGCAUCACCUCUUACUUGUUCAGUUCCCUCCUAAGAGUCAAACAAGAGCCAAACACUGUUCUCCAGGCGUGGUGUGAUCUGCGGGGAGAAAAUGGGCUCUUCCACACUGUCAUCUGCUGCUGAGGACCACGGAGGGCUUCAUGGCGGCCUCCUCAAGCUGUUGCUGGAGCGAAGGCAUGCACACUUGCACACAAGUGUGAUGAACAAUGGUAAGAAGGCAAGCGUCAACUGUGUGUCCAGGGGAGGGGCUGCUCAUUCCCUCUGCAGCAUCUACUCUGGGCAGGCACCCUGCCAGGUGCAGACUGGCACAGAGAUGGGAACCAGACAGACGCCAGAGGACCCUGCCCUGUCCGCCAGGAGCUGUGGUCUCACACUCGUGGGAUGAACGUGAUGGCAAGGUAGGUCCAGCGGCUCAUAGUAAGUAUGUGCGCCAGUCCGGCUGGAGCAGAUGCUAGGGCUCAGCGGGAGCUCCUGGAAGCACACCUUUGUCACCUUCUUACUUCCCUUCAUCUUGGACUCAGCCAUGCAAUCAACAACUACAUCCUGUUGGUUAUUUCUUCUCACAGUAUGUGGCCUCCACCCUGACUUCCCACCCCACUGCUCCUGCCACACCGCAGGCCUCGUCCCUUGCGUCUUGCAAUAGCCCCCUUCCUAGUCUCCUGCCUCCAGUUUGUGCCCCUACCUCCUAACCUACAUAUCUCAGCCCGCUUAGUCUGCCUACAGGACUUCUUUAGCCAUGUCACCCUUCUGUCCCCACACCUUCCUUGGCCCUUGUGACCUACAGGAUAAACUCUGUCUGGCUUUGAAACCCUCGAUCCCACCCAACUCCUCACCACCCACCUUUUCUGCUCUGUUCUACGGGAAUCCUGUUCCCGACCAAUGACUCAUCGCAUUUCCAGAUCUUUCCAUUCUUUUCUAAGCUCAAUUCAAUCAAGCCUAAAACCAUUUUAAAUAGCUCUUCGCUUCCUCUGAAGUCCUAUAGCGUAUGUCUUAAUCACUCAUUUAUGUGAAAGCAAAAUUUUGUUGCUAAGGCGCACAAGGUAGACUUUGGCCAGGCAGUAUUUUUAUUUAUACAAGGGCUCAGCGUGUACACAGAUAUCUUUAUACCCCUGCAACCCUCUCCAUUUCCUUUGUGUACAUUCGGGUUAGUGGAGGUAGUGAACAGCUGUUGUUUUCACCUGUCCAACAUCUCUUCCUCAUCUUUUGCCCCAUCACCUUUCUGCCCCUCUUUUAUAUAGUUUGGGUGGGGCUGGCCAUCCCUCUCCACGGCCCGGGCACAUGAUCCGGUCUGGUCAAGAUUACAGUAUUCUAGUCCCUUGCCCACAGUGAUUGGUUCUGGGGUGAGCAAGGGCCCUAAGUCAGCCCAAUGAGAGUCAGCCUUGGAAUUUAGCUGGAAGCACUGGGAAAGAGGCACUCCAUGGUCAUCGUCCUUGCUGCCAAGAAGGAAGCUAACACAGAGGAAAACAGUCAAGAGAAGAAGAGAAGGAUGGCCCUGCUGUCAUCGUCAAGCCUCCCAUCCGUCUACGCUGAAAGCCAAGUUCACCCCUGCACUUCCCAAUUGUGGGAGCAAAUAAAUCA